UACGGGGGGGGCAAGCGUUGUUCGGAAUUACUGGGCGUAAAGCGUGCGCAGGCGGUGAUGUAAGACAGAUGUGAAAUCCCCGGGCUUAACCUGGGAACUGCAUUUGUGACUGCAUCGCUGGAGUGCGGCAGAGGGGGAUGGAAUUCCGCGUGUAGCAGUGAAAUGCGUAGAUAUGCGGAGGAACACCGAUGGCGAAGGCAAUCCCCUGGGCCUGCACUGACGCUCAUGCACGAAAGCGUGGGGAGCAAACAGG
rnacentral:rRNA from 1 species